UUUUUUUUUUUUUUUUUUUUUUUUUGGUGAGAGGGAGGGAUCCAAAGAAGAUGGGAAUCCCAGCCUUUCCAUCUCGCUUUACCCAGGAACGUCGAGAUCUUUCAACCGUGGGCUCAGAAACCCCCUUUCUGUGUCCACUUCAACCAUACACAUCUAACAGGCAGGAAUUCAGACUUGGCCGAGGUGAGGAGAACUGGUGGUUUCUGCCCUGUUUUGGUGACCUUCAUGGGCUUAUUUAUGCACUUCAAGCUCAUGACCUAAUAGAUGUUGGUUUGGCUUCUCUUCUCAUAAUAGCAGCCUGUAAAAAGCUUUUGAGAAUUCCCCGUGUUUUCUUAUUUUGGGUCAAGAAAAUAAAAUCGAUAUCUAAGUAAUCUUAAAAAAAAAAAAAAAAAAAGCCUGCACAAUCUAAAACUUUGGAAUGUUUCCACUCGGGCUACGGAUAUCUCUGAAAGCCUUGGAGAUCAGCAAAGUUAAGACCAACAUUUGCCAUUUUUAAGGUGACAUAUUUGGUAACAGCGUAUGUGAGAAUUAGCUAAGAGGGACUUUUCUGACAUAAGUCAAACAAUGACAUUUAAAACUCACGUUAAAACAAUUACCGUGCGGAAUUUUUCCGUGUUUUUCCCAUUUCUCAAACAGAAGUGUAUAUACUUUCAGCAUAGUUUCUUGCUGUAAUUUUCUUUCUUGGCAAACCCACAUCUUACCAUGAAACCCAAAGUAUGCACGCUACAGAAACAAUAAUGGUUGAAACAGACUCGGCUGUCUCUGGCAUGAUUUUUCUUUACAAAAUUAAAACGUCUUUUGGCUAAUACACUGUCCAUUUCAGUUAUGAAAGACCAUUCUUGGGAGAAGAACAGAAAAGAAAGGCGAGCUGACACAUUCCACUGAUUCGAGACAAAAAGUUGCUGUAUUCAUAUGGUAGGUAGUCAAACCUCCAGUUCCUGAGUCUUUGGGGGGAAAAAAUAUCGAUUUUAUCAUUCUUCCUUCAGUUAAAUUCACAGAGAGCUGACGAUUUUCCUCAGAAUGACUGUGGGAAUAGCUAUGUAAAAUCUGAGAAUGCAGAUUUUAAAAACCUAACUUUACUACAGCCUCAAAAGGAAACUAGAGGGGGAAAAAAUCCAGUGUCACUGAAAUCACACCCGUUUUCUUGUUAUUGACACAAUACUAUGGAUCCUAAAUGACGAAAUAAUUUCUAACCUCUUUUAAAUCCUUGGUUCAUUUUUAAAUGUGUCUAAAUGGACUUUAUUGGGCAAAGACCGUCGGUUAGGCGCACAUGCUCAAAACUGGUAAAAAGUAAACCUGUCUCCUUGGCUGGCUGUUCCUCUCCAUUCCUGUUUUAAAUUCCUGCGCGUUAUCUGAAAGCAGAGGCAGCCUUUGCAAAAGAGCCUAAGAAGCCACAUCUGCGCCCUAGUAUCGUCAGACGGGUUAUGAUAGGGAUGACGAAGCCCUGCUUUCUAGAGAUCUGGGUCUGAGGGCAGAGACCCCCUCAGCCACCCCUCCAGGCUCGUCCCAAAGUGGGGCCCUCUAGCCCUGGCUGACCCUCAGCCCGCCUGUCCCAGAGUCAGGCACCCGCCGGCCUCCCUUUACCGUCAAAGGGGCAAAGAUGAAUCGUUCCGGGUACCUGACUCUUGGGACCACCUGUUCCCAAUUAUUCUUCGCUCUCCAACUGUUUAUAAUCUAACCCCCAAACAACAACCCACCCAGAGCGAUCCAGCACCUUCCAGUAAACUUGAUCGGGACAGCCUCCCAUACUGUGUCAGGGCCUUGCCACUGCCGGUCACGUUGCUGACCCUUUAGAGGAACUGAAAUGCGUGGCGUUACAGGAUCAGAAGGACCAACCCAAACUAGCCCUUGUAAAUAAACAGGCCUUUUUUUCUUUUAGAGGAUCAUGGACAACCUGCUAAAUAUCAUGACUCGCCAAAGCCCAGAUGGGUGUUUUCUAAAUAUUUAAAACAAUUUUUCUGCCAUUUACGGCAACAGCAAAAAAAAAAAAAAAAAAAAAAAAAAA
rnacentral:lncRNA from 1 species